CAGUGGAUAGAGUACCCGGCCUGACUUCAGAAAGACUAAUCUCUCUGAGUUCAAACACUUCUUAGCUAUGUUACCCUGGAUGAGACAAUCAAAAAAGUUUGCCCUAAAGAAAUUGCCUGCAACACUCAGAACUUUCAUGGAUGCUAUUGCCUGGCAAAAGAUUGAUGUGACGGAAUAUGCUACCUUUCAGAUAAACCAACCAUGCAGAAGGACUAAAGGACACAAAUCCCAAGGUCCUGUUUAUUCUAACAUGGUUGCCUGGAUAAACAGCAAAAGUCUAGACUUUAUCCAUGUAAAGAAGAAUCAGAAGUUGAUGGGGGCCAUCAGUCCACAAUGCCCUGACAGAGUCAAGCAUGGUACCUGGGGAGACCACAGAGUGGUCCUUGGCAAGAUGUGACUGCCCACUCUAUCCCCCUUGCACAAUCUCUUUCAUCAAUGCCCCUUACCUAUGAAUUGACAUGAUUAUUAUUCCCCCUAGUCUCAAAAGAAAUAAUGCAAGAGCAGAACACCUUUACCCUAAUUCUCCAAAACAUCACCAAAAGAUCAGACCCUCAAACCUAAUCCCAAAAGACUAUAAUGGGUUAACCUUUACUUAGGUACAUAAUUCCCAGCAAAACCACAGCUACAGGCCAAGCCAAAACCUUCCCCAUAUACAGAAGGCUAUUCUCAUUAAGUCAGCACACAAAUCAAUCAUAGAGGCCCAAGCGAUAAGUACAAGUACAUCAAGCUUCAGUUAUGCCUCAGUGAAUCAGUAACUCCCUAGAAGCCACCAGUCUAAAUUUAAAUUGUGUUCCCAGACCCCUCAGCCCC
rnacentral:lncRNA from 1 species